GGGCUUGUUUUGGCAGCACUCAUACUAAAAUUGAAUGAUACAGAGAAGAUUAUUAGCAUGGCCCCUGCACAAGGACAAACGGCAAAAUUCCAUAUUUUUUU
ensembl:snRNA U6 U6 spliceosomal RNA